AAUGAACGUUGGCGGCGUGGAUUAGGCAUGCAAGUCGAGCGUGUACCCCGCAAGGGGGAAAGCGGCGUAAGGGAGAGUAAUACGUAGAUACGUGCCUCCGGGUCUGGGAUAGCCACGGGAAACAGUGGGUAAUACCGGAUAAUGUCUGAGGACCAAAGGUGUGAUUCCACCUGGAGAUCGGUCUGCGUCCUAUCAUGCUUGUUGGUGAGGUAACGGCUCACCAAGGCGACGACGGGUACGGGGAGUGAGAGCUUGCCCCCGCUCACUGGGACUGAGACACUGCCCAGACACCUACGGGUGGCUGCAGUCGAGGAUCUUCGGCAAUGGGCGCAAGCCUGACCGAGCGACGCCGCGUGCGGGAUGAAGGCCUUCGGGUUGUAAACCGCUGUCAGUGGGGAGGAAGGCUCCGUGAAGAACGGGGUUUGACCUAUCCGCAGAGGAAGUGUGGGCUAAGUUCGUGCCAGCCGCCGCGGUAA
rnacentral:rRNA from 1 species